AUUGAACGCUGGCGGCAGGCCUAACACAUGCAAGUCGAGCGGUAGAGAGGUGCUUGCAUCUCUUGAGAGCGGCGGACGGGUGAGUAAUGCCUAGGAAUCUGCCUAGUGUGGGGGAUAACGUUCGGAAACGGACGCUAAUACCGCAUACGUCCUACGGGAGAAAGCGGGGGAUCUUCGGACCUCGCGCCAUUAGAUGAGCCUAGGUCGGAUUAGCUAGUUGGUGAGGUAAUGGCUCACCAAGGCGACGAUCCGUAACUGGUCUGAGAGGAUGAUCAGUCACACUGGAACUGAGACACGGUCCAGACUCCUAC
rnacentral:rRNA from 1 species